rnacentral:misc_RNA from 1 species
UAAUAAAAUAAAAUUUCAAUUCAUUUCCACACCACAAUCAAUCAUAUAAAACACUUGAAUAUUACCAUACACCAUCAUUUCAUAAUUUUAACUCUCUUUUCUCAUUAAAAAUGAGAAUGAACCUGAAGAAUAACCCAACGGCAAUGGCACAGGAGUGAGCAAGAAGACAGGUCCAACAUUCUUAAAGGGAUCCAACUAUGAAGCUAGCCCAAUUUAAAUUGGUGUUCAAAGAAUUGAAUAAAUCAAAUGCUUUACAAAUUUGUUUCAAAUGGUUUUACAGUAUUAGUGGGAGUGAAACUGCUUUCAACGAUCUCACCACUAUACAUGGUCCAGUUUGAUACAAAGGGAAGGGACAUACUUUUACAACUAAGCCGUGCAAUUAUAGAAACUCUGACCAAUAAGUGACUAUAGAUGAUGUACCUCACGCUUCCUGUAGCUAUCUACAUGCAGAUUCUGGAACAUGUAUUCUGAUAUGUCUAUAACUUGCUUGGCUCCUGUUAUGGUUAAAAGGCCUCGCUCUUCGUUCCCUCCAAUCGGAAAACUAAAAAUUAUAACCUAGGCUCAAAGAAAAAAGACUUCUUUGUUCAUCUGUUGGAUUCAUCAACCAUCGGCAAAACAUCCAUGCUGCCCCAACCACUGAUAAAAGUGACAGCAUUGCCAAAAAUCCAAAAUGUGAAAUGUCAUUUGCAAUUAUUGCAACUCCCAACAUUAAUGACUCCGCCAAACUCGCCACUGAAAUCUCUGUUGCCCCGAUAAGAUUUGCUUUAGAUGAUGGGAUCCCCGCUUGGAGAAUCUGUGCCCCAACAACAUCAUAUGACAUGUGUCCCAACCUUGAUAAAACCUGCACGUAGAGUUUGGUCAAUUGUCUUUGGAGUUCCAAAUUUAUUACAAGAUGGUAGAAGAGGAGCAACAGUGUACACAGAUAAAUGUGCUAUAUUUUGACAUUGAUACAAUGGUACUGAUAUAGCAACUUUCAAAAGCACGGACAGUGGAUCAAUAAUGUUGGUCAUGUUUAUUUAAUAAGUUUCAAACUAAAAUAUUAUUUUGCAAAGUACCAAAAUACAUAUACUAAGAUUUCCCAUAAAUCAAUUUUCCAGUCUGUAUAUGUAAUAAGAAACAAAAAGUGAUCCUUACAAUCAAUCCCAAGAAAAAGAGAAGUGGGCUCUGAUGGGAAAGAGAUCCACUCCAAUAAAUAACGACAGCUAAGGUAAGAAGUGAAGCCUGAAAUACCAAACCAGCUGCUCCAGCCUUCAAAAUGCCCAAUCGCUUGACCAAUGUUGCUGAUAAGAAUGUUGCCAGAACACCCAUGAAAGCACAUAACCCGCUAAACCCGCCAAUGACAGAUGGAUUUACUCCACGCUGUGUUAAAAAUGCUGUCAUCAAACCGCCUGGAGCAAGAACGACAUUGAAGCAUAGGAGAACAUAGGCAAGGCUUGCAGGAAGAACUGGCUGGUGCAUAUAUUCCUUCCACCCAAGUUUGAUAGUUUCCAGACCUCUAUCCACUAUGCUGUUAUCAUCCACAGCUGCUCCAGUCGACUCUCUGCAAAACGUCUGAGAAAAUCUGGUGUGGUCAAGCACCCCAGUAGAUAGCUUGUUGGUCAAAAAGGCGAGACCAAUCAUAAUGGGCAAUGACCAUAUCAUUAGACCAGUAGCAAACUUCAAGCAGGUCACAGGAUCAUAUUUGGAGAGAAGAAUGCCAAAUAAUGAUGCUCCCGCUAUCUCACACAGAAGAUCAAUUCGAUUAAGAACAGCAUUUGCUUGUGCAAGCGCAAUUGGCCUAUUUAUUCCUGCUAACAGCACAACCCAAUCCCGCUCCAUAGCUACUCCCAAUGCUACUCCACAUAGCCUCUCAAUAGCCCCCGCUAAAACAAGUACAAGAAACCAUGGACAGAGAAGAAUGGAUGAUGCAGAAGUGGGAGAAACAGUAUGUGCAUGAAUAAUCAUAGUUGCAGAUAACAACUGAGCAGCUACCUGGACUACAUUUAGACCAAUAGAAGAAGGUAUUCUGGGAGAAUGAUCCAGAAGUUUGCCAACCAAAGGACCUCCAACAAUUAUUGCAAGCUUGGUGAAGAAACCCAUGACUGCCACUGGUAGGAGGCUAGGAUGAAUCAAUGCUAUAGCAGAAGGCCAAGCAAAAUUCCAUAGUUGUUCCACUAAAUUUCCAGCCAGGCAACUAGCAUAAAAGGCAUAUAAUCCAACUGGAUGGGCUGGAGUUGCAGCAAGGGCAUUUUGCUCCUCCUCCGAUAAAACCGGCAAUGCUGUUAAAAGACUGUCCGCAUAAGUUGCAUCAGCUAGCAAACUCAGAGGUUUAGCCUCUAGGAUAUCAGCUUUAAUAUGAACAAUAGGGGCCGAACAAUCAGGCUCAAUUCCUGAAACAUCUUGUGGGACCUCAUCAUCAGAGACAACAUGGCUGCAUUGUAACUCAGAAUUUGUAAUUAAGCACCUUGAAUUUAAAUUGCAGAACCUGCAUGGAGAAGAAGCAGAAUUGAAAUUCAUCCGUCGGCGAGUAGCGAGGCGAUAGCGAAUUCUAGAAGCAUGCGGUGCCGAUAAAGUCGCUCGCCGAAUGGAGAUGAAAUUGGAAUUGAAAGAGAGAGCGUAUGAAACUGAGACCAUAGCCAUACUAGUUUCGACUGCUUUAAAUUCAACAACUUCAAGUACCCAAACUUGAAGAUAAACGAAUUGGUAUAGAAUUCCUGACUACUCAUGCAGCCUCCAAGAAAGGGAAGACUAAAGUAUCGUUUGGCCUAACUCUUGUGGGCUAGAAUUCAUUAGAGAUGGUAUCACUAGUUAGAUGAUGAAUUUACAAACACGAAACUGUUUUUCCUAUCUGGGCAGUUCAAUUUUGAGUUGGGUGGAGGAUUCCGAAAUCUGGGGAUUGGAGAGGUUUAUCCAAGCAGUGGAGGUAUCAGUGAGUUAUGGUAGUCCGCCGGUGGGCGAACACUUCAAGUGGGAGUUGCACCUUUUGUGUGGCUAUUAGAUUUGAUGAGUCAUUAGGCCAUUUUACCCAGAAAAAUUGUGGGCCACUGGCGGGCUAGGUGCACCAAUUAGACAUUGCCAUGCUUCCCUGUAAAUUUCCACAAAUAGCUUGGAAACAAGGCAUGGAAAUCUAAUUUCAAU